rnacentral:rRNA from 1 species
UACGUAGGGGGCAAGCGUUGUCCGGAUUCAUUGGGCGUAAAGAGCUCGUAGGCGGCUUGGCAAGUCGGGUGUGAAACCUCCAGGCUCAACCUGGAGACGCCACCCGAUACUGCCAUGGCUAGAGUCCGGUAGGGGACCACGGAAUUCCUGGUGUAGCGGUGGAAAUGCGCAGAUAUCAGGAGGAACACCGGUGGCGAAGGCGGCCUGCUGGGCAGUUACUGACACUGAUGCGCGACAGCGUGGGGAGCAAACAGG